rnacentral:rRNA from 1 species
AGCGAACGCUGGCGGCAGGCUUAACACAUGCAAGUCGAACGGGCACUUCGGUGCUAGUGGCAGACGGGUGAGUAACGCGUGGGAACGUGCCUUUCGGUUCGGAAUAAUCCAGGGAAACUUGGACUAAUACCGGAUACGCCCUUCGGGGGAAAGAUUUAUCGCCGAAAGAUCGGCUCGCGUCUGAUUAGCUAGUUGGUGAGGUAAAGGAUCACCAAGGCGACGAUCAGUAGCUGGUCUGAGAGGAUGAUCAGCCACAUUGGGACUGAGACACGGCCCAAACUCCAACGGGAGGCAGCAGUGGGGAAUAUUGGACAAUGGGCGCAAGCCUGAUCCAGCCAUGCCGCGUGAGUGAUGAAGGCCUUAGGGUUGUAAAGCUCUUUUGUCCGGGAAGAUAAUGACUGUACCGGAAGAAUAAGCCCCGGCUAACUGCGUGCCAGCCGCCGCAGUAA